GGCUCAGCCCCAAGGAGGGGCGGCGCUGCCCCGUACGGAGAGCCAGGCGGGAGCUGCCCGGGUCAUGUCCGUCGAAAGCCCCUCCGGCAACGACAACUGCGGACGCCGCGAAUCCCACCGCCGGCUGCCACCACCGCGUCCCCUCAGCUCGGCGGAAAAUGGGCCCACCCUCAGCGACCGGCUGGGCUGUCUGUCCUUCGAUUGGCCAGCAGUGCUGUCUGUCACUGAGCAUCCUGCUCCAUGGCCAAUGGGCGCGCGGGAAGGGUCGGGGUGGGGCCUGCAGGACGGGGCCGCGGCCGCGCUUGGGCCGGAGCGAGGGGCAGUUUUGUUCCCUCAGGCUCACAGGAUGUUUGCUCAGAGCUCCUGGAACUCUGUGAGCCCCGUGCUGCUGCUGGUGCUGCUGGGCUGUGUCCUGUGUCCCCCAGCACAGGCCAGCAAGAGCUCCGAGGACAUUCGCUGCAAGUGCAUCUGCCCCCCGUACCGCAACAUCAGCGGGCAUAUCUACAACAAGAAUGUGUCCCAGAAGGACUGCAACUGUCUGCACGUGGUGGAGCCCAUGCCAGUGCCCGGGAACGACGUGGAGGCCUACUGCCUGCUCUGUGAGUGCAAGUACGAGGAGCGCAGCACCACCACCAUCAAGGUGAUCAUCAUCAUCUACCUGUCGGUGGUGGGGGCCCUGCUGCUCUAUAUGGCGUUCCUGGUGCUCGUGGACCCCCUGAUCCGCAAGCCAGACCCCUAUACCCAGCCCCUGCACAACGAGGAGGACAGUGAGGACACUCGCUCCCUGGGCGCAGUGCCUGCUCUGGCUGGUGCCAGGGCCAACACGGUGCUGGAGCGGGUGGAGGGGGCACAGCAGCGCUGGAAGCGGCAGGUGCAGGAGCAGAGGAAGACUGUGUUCGACCGGCACAAGAUGCUGAGCUAGGCCCUGCUGGGCUCUGCCACAUCAGGACACCCCAGCGUUGGAAUGGAACCUCCAGCGCUCCCUGAUUCACCGUCUCCAGAGGGAGCAACAGUCCCAAAGCCUUCUCUGGUCGUGUCCCCUGCCCUUCCCCAGCCCAGCCACGCUGGCCCCUGGGCUAUGGCUGCCAUGUGGAGCUUGGCCAAACAUGGGACUCCAUCAGCCUACCCCAGCAGGGACAGGGACUGGGAAUGGAGCACUGGGAGCUGGCUGAGUCUUCCUAGGAGAAAAAUAGAAUUUUGAUGUGGGAUAAAUUAUGUGAUGUUUCUCCAGGAUGCAGCAGCCACCUCUUCCUCCUCCUCCAGUGUGCACUGAUGGUCCCUGGGCAUUGUAGUGCUGAGCCACGUGUGCAGCACAGGAACAAAGGGGAGGGGGUUUCUGCCAGUGGGCACUGCUGCUUCGGCUUAUCCUGAUGUAAAUGGAGAGAUUUCCAUACCUCUGGAGUCUGUCCAGAUUUACACCAGCAUAACUGAGACUACAGCCUGCUUCUAGGCAGUAGAUAGAAACCUCCUGGAGUGAAACCUCUCCAUUUGUACCCACACUGGUGACCCUUGGUGUUCUCCCAGGGUGGGCAGUGGCAUUUCUGUCCAACAGAGCUGGGGCAAAGGCUCUCCUGGAGCACUGGAAGCACCUGUCAGGGCCCUGGGAAGUGGGCACCUGAGCCACUCAGAACACUCCAAGAGCUCUGACAGCACUUGGGCUGUGUGGAGGAAGCUGCAGUGGUUCUGCCAUGUGUAUUGAUGCCACUGAAAACAUUUGGAGUUUAUGGUGUAGCACCUCUAUUAAACGCAGACAAAGAUCUA